CUCACUGCCACUCAAUCAUCUUUAUAUACAAAAACCCUAUUCCUCAAUGCAUCGCAAACCAUUCAGUCUAUACAAGCAAUUGAAUCAACGGUUGCUAUCAAAACACCAAUAACAUGAGCCACGACGAUGAUGAGAAACACUCCCCAGUAGGUGCUCCUCCCCCACAGGCAGCAAAGGACCCUCACACUCCACCGGUUUACCCGCCGCUAGACGGUGCUCCACAGUACGUUCAACAACCUCUUCCACCCAACCAAGAAAUGGGUUGUUUUGAAAAAUGUAUAAUUGAACUUUGUUGUUGUUGCAAGUGCGACUCAUUCUUUUAAGUUCCAAAGAGGUAUGUAUAGUGAUCCAACAAAAACUAUUUGGUUGACUCAUUAACAUCGAUGUCAUCAAGUCAAUACUAGAAAUGUUAACAAAUGUUUAGACUGUUAUUGUAAUUUAUGUUUCCUCAAGAAUAGUAAAUUCUUAUGAUAGA